ACGAACGCUGGCGGCAUGCUUAACACAUACAAGUCGAACGUGAUCCUCGGGGUUUCGGCUCUGGGGUGAAAGUGGCGGACGGGUGAGUAACGCGUGGGAACCUGCCCAGUGGUAGGGGAUAACCGCGGGAAACUGCGGCUAAUACCCUAUGUGCCUUGCGGGGCAAAGAUUUAUCGCCAUUGGAGGGGCCCGCGUCGGAUUAGGUAGUUGGUGGGGUAACGGCCUACCAAGCCUGCGAUCCGUAGCUGGUCUGAGAGGAUGAUCAGCCACACUGGGACUGAGAUACGGCCCAGACUCCUACGGGAGGCAGCAGUGGGGAAUAUUGGACAAUGGGGGCAACCCUGAUCCAGCAAUGCCGCGUGAGUGAAGAAGGCCUUAGGGUUGUAAAGCUCUUUCGCACGCGACGAUGAUGACGGUAGCGUGAGAAGAAGCCCCGGCUAACUCCGUGCCAG
rnacentral:rRNA from 1 species